GCAGAUCAGGCCUAACACAUGCAAGUCGAGCGGAAACGAUGGUAGCUUGCUACCAGGCGUCGAGCGGCGGACGGGUGAGUAAUACUUAGGAAUCUACCUAGUAGUGGGGGAAUAGCACGGGGAAACUCGUAUUAAUACCGCAUACGACCUACGGGAGAAAGGGGGCAGUUUACUGCUUCUCGCUAUUAGAUGAGCCUAAGUCGGAUUAGCUAGAUGGUGGGGUAAAGGCCUACCAUGGCGACGAUCUGUAGCUGGUCUGAGAGGAUGAUCAGCCACACCGGGACUGAGACACGGCCCGGACUCCUACGGGAGGCAGCAGUGGGGAAUAUUGGACAAUGGGGGAAACCCUGAUCCAGCCAUGCCGCGUGUGUGAAGAAGGCCUUUUGGUUGUAAAGCACUUUAAGCAGUGAAGAAGACUCUUCGGUUAAUACCCGGAGACGAUGACAUUAGCUGCAGGAUAAGCACCGGCUAACUCUGUGCCAGCAGCCGCGGUAAUACAGAGGGUGCAAGCGUUAAUCGGAAUUACUGGGCGUAAAGCGAGCGUAGGUGGCUUGAUAAGUCAGAUGUGAAAUCCCCGGGCUUAACCUGGGAACUGCAUCUGAAACUGUUAGGCUAGAGUAGGUGAGAGGGAAGUAGAAUUUCAGGUGUAGCGGUGAAAUGCGUAGAGAUCUGAAGGAAUACCGAUGGCGAAGGCAGCUUCCUGGCAUCAUACUGACACUGAGGCUCGAAAGCGUGGGUAGCAAACAGGAUUAGAUACCCUGGUAGUCCACGCCGUAAACGAUGUCUACUAGUCGUUGGGUCCCUUGAGGACUUAGUGACGCAGCUAACGCAAUAAGUAGACCGCCUGGGGAGUACGGCCGCAAGGUUAAAACUCAAAUGAAUUGACGGGGGCCCGCACAAGCGGUGGAGCAUGUGGUUUAAUUCGAUACAACGCGAAGAACCUUACCUGGUCUUGACAUAUCUAGAAUCCUGCAGAGAUGCGGGAGUGCCUUCGGGAAUUAGAAUA
rnacentral:rRNA from 1 species